UCUAGAGUUGUAGGCUUUGCCUGCUAUCUCUUCGUAGGUCUUUUGAGUACCUUCGUUUUCCGUUCAGCGGGGUCCGCCCGCCGAUUGGACAUAUUAAAAACCAUUUGCAGUUGCAAUCAGCGUCUGAAAAACAACUUAUAGUUUAC
rnacentral:misc_RNA from 1 species